rnacentral:rRNA from 1 species
CGAAACCGAUAGCGAACAAGUACCGUGAGGGAAAGUUGAAAAGUACUCUGAAUAGAGAGUUAAAUAGUACGUGAAACCGCUUAGGGGUUAAGCCCGAUGAACCCGAAUAUCUGAUGUGAGAAAUUCAAUACGAUUCAAAUUCAUAUUUUUUUAUAUUGGAUUUGUAUAGUAUGCACUUUUCUCAUAGUAAGACAUUGUAAUCCAUUGAUAUUAUAUCUCAUCAUGAGAUGAUUUAACAUACGGACAAAAUGUUUAUGAUUAUUCUAUCAGUGAUAUGUUUACAUGUCAUAUGAAUAAAAUCGUUUUGUUUCCUGUUUAAAUAGUCGAUGGAUUUUUCAUUGAAAUCAUGCUUGCAAUUUAUUUUACGUUUCGUAUCAUUAAUUUUUAAUUGUUGAUAGCAGAAAUGGCAUGUAUUCGAUUAACAAUGCGAUAGAUUUGGGAUACUUUCAGGACCCGUCUUGA